GUUCCUUCUGGAACCUUCGACUUAUGCCCGUGUAGUGUAUAAGCACAUCUUGUUUGACAGUGAGGGUCAUACUAUAGUGACGCAGUCGUGCUUGUACAGGACAGCAAACACACCAGCAAUAAGGACAUUGUUUCCCAAGUUUCUCAGACGCUGAUACAACUGUGGACUCAUUGCUGAAAUUCCGUCACAACCAAUCAAGAAAGGCAAGCUCAAAGUAAUUAAUGGAUGAAGAAGCACAAGCAUCAAAGCAUGGCAAGGAGACUGUAAAGACUAAAUUUCAUGGAAACUCUACAUCAACUGUUUGACAUUGCUGCCUGCUAAUGUGAGGAUCUUGGUACAUGCAUAUGUAAUAUGAAAGUAUCACAAGCGAAGGUGUCAGUUUUUUAUGGACCAGAGAACCACAGGAAAAAUGCUAAUUGGUACAACAACAACAGGACAGGAAAUAUGUACCAGUAUCAACCAUUGCUUUGAAGGCAGACCGAUAUGUGGAAGAGACCAAUUGGAAAUGCAUUGACUAAUUGCGCAUUAUUGCCACUUUCUGAUUUCGACUCAUUGCCAACUGUGAUCCUCUUCCAGAAAUAGAAGUCGGCGAACUUAGUGAUGACCAAGCAUACCUGUACAAAAUGAUCACAGCUAUUAGAAGUGGAAGCAUCCGUGACAAUUUACAGCAGAAAAAGCCUGGGCGCAUGUCCAUGGCAAGAUGGUUCACAACUGCUAGCAAGAUAUGUGGCAACAGUGCAGCCUAGUAACAAACUGUAAUCCCUGACACACUUUAUUGUCUACUUGCUAUGGACCUACAUGGUUUAGCAUUAAGUGUUGCCCAAGAUGCACUGAUGAACCAAAGCACUUCAACAAAUUAACCAGCAGAUUUUGCUAUCAUCAGCCUGCAGGAAUAUAACAUGGCCCAUAGUGCAACGGAAUGCACGCUGGGCCCAUCAGGAAAAUGUUGAUUCUUGGAGAUGACGAUGAAGUCAAUAGGAAAGCAACAAAAAGGGAAACGUUUAAAAAAUUAGAUUUUUGCUUUUUUGGGGACAGAAAAAGGGAGGUGUUCUGCUCAUUGCAGAUUUCUCUGCUAUACAUUUUUGAACUCAGCAUAGCUGGUUGUACAAAACCUCAAAUGUGCCCGUUGAUCCGUUACAAUUCAUUAGCUGAUGCUACACCCUUAUGCACAAUACAGCUGUGGUAGUCCUGUGCUUGCUGUUGUAUAGACUCAGACUGUAUUACAUGUACAGAAUUUUGCUUGAUGUGAUCUAAUUUUGUAAACCACAUGGGCUGUUUAUCAAUAGUUUUUUUUUUCCACUCCCUUCCACCUAUUUACUAUGCUUCUGAAUAAAUCAUAAAUGUGAUUUAAAAUUGUAGGAACCCACAAAUAUUUUAAUCUUCUAUUUAUCACUGUCAGUUUAAAAAAAAUAUUAUUAAUUUUUAAUAAACAGCACAGGAGUUUGC